UACGUAGGGUGCAAGCGUUAAUCGGAAUUACUGGGCGUAAAGCGUGCGCAGGCGGUGAUGUAAGACCGAUGUGAAAUCCCCGGGCUUAACCUGGGAACUGCAUUGGUGACUGCAUUGCUGGAGUAUGGCAGAGGGGGGUGGAAUUCCACGUGUAGCAGUGAAAUGCGUAGAGAUGUGGAGGAACACCGAUGGCGAAGGCAGAUCUCUGGGCCGUAACUGACGCUGAGGAGCGAAAGCAUGGGGAGC
rnacentral:rRNA from 1 species